UAAUACAGAGGUCUCGAGCGUUGUUCGGAUUUAUUGGGCGUAAAGGGUGCGUAGGCGGUGUGGUAAGUCAAGUGUGAAAUCUCAGAGCUCAACUCUGAAACUGCAUUUGAUACUGUCAUACUAGAGGAUUGUAGAGGAGAUCGGAAUUCACGGUGUAGCAGUGAAAUGCGUAGAUAUCGUGAGGAAGACCAGUUGCGAAAGCGGAUCUCUGGGCAACUCCUGACGCUGAGGCACGAAGGCUAGGGGAGCGAACGGGAUUAGAUACCCCGGUAGUCCUAGCAGUAAACGGUGCACGUUUGGUAUGGGCAGAUUCGACCCUGUCUGUGCCGGAGCUAACGCGUUAAACGUGCCGCCUGAGAAGUACGGCCGCAAGGUUA
rnacentral:rRNA from 1 species